UAUUGGGCAAUGGGCGCAAGCCUGACCCAGCAAUGCCGCGUGGGUGAAGAAGGUCUUCGGAUUGUAAAGCCCUUUCGGCGGGGACGAUGAUGACGGUACCCGCAGAAGAAGCCCCGGCUAACUUCGUGCCAGCAGCCGCGGUAAUACGAAGGGGGCUAGCGUUGCUCGGAAUCACUGGGCGUAAAGGGCGCGUAGGCGGCCCUGUUGGUCCGGCGUGAAAUCCCUGGGCUUAACCUGGGGGCUGCGCUGGAGACGGCGGGGCUGGAGGCCGAGAGAGGGUGGUGGAAUUCCCAGUGUAGAGGUGAAAUUCGUAGAUAUUGGGAAGAACACCGGUGGCGAAGGCGGCCACCGGCUCGGACCUGACGCUGAGGCGCGACA
rnacentral:rRNA from 1 species